UACGGAGGUUGCGAGCGUUACCCGGAUUUACUGGGAGUAAAGGGCGUGUAGGCGGUUUCGGACGUCCCAUGCGAAAGGCCACGGCUCAACUGUGGGGGAGCGUGGGAUACUGUGAGGCUAGACGGUGGGAGAGGGUGGUGGAAUUCUCGGAGUAGCGGUGAAAUGCGCAGAUACCGGGAGGAACGCCGAUGGCGAAGGCAGCCACCUGGCUCACUUGUGACGCUGAGGCGCGAAAGCGUGGGGAGCAAACCGG
rnacentral:rRNA from 1 species